AGGUCGACCCGCUGAAUUUAAGCAUAUCAGUAAGCGGAGGAAAAGAAACUAACAAGGAUUCCCUUAGUAAGGGCGACUGAACAGGGAAAAGCUCAAAACCGAAUCGUGCGGUGUUAUGCCGUUGCGAAAUGUGGUGUUUGGGUCUCACUUUGUGCAGAAAUGUUUUACUCCAAGUUCACAUGAUUGUGGCUCAUUAGCCCAAGGAGGGUGUAAGGCCCGUAAGAGUAAUUACGUUUUUGUCUUUGUGGUGACCCUAGAGUCGGGUUGUUUGGGAUUGCAGCCCUAAGUGGUGGUAAACUCCAUCAAAAGCUAAAUACAAUGUGAGUCCGAUAGCGAACAAGCUACCAUGAGGGAAAGUUGAAAAGAACUUUGAAGAGAGAGUUCAAUAGUGCGUGAAACCUUUCAGAGGUAAGCGGGUGGAGCUGAAACUGGUGUGGUGAUUGAUAUCUAUCGGUUGACGAUUGAGUGAAGUAUGAUCGUUAUAGACUUCUUUGCUUGAUUGUAUUGACUGGUUGGUUGUUUAUCCCAUGCUAUAACCACGAUCGGCGGUUGAACUGUGCUACCAUUGCGGAGAAGGUGGCCAAUUUGCUAUCUUGCUUAUUGGUGUUAUAGCUCUGUUUUGUGGUUUCGGUUUGCUGUCGUGAAGAUGGACGUGGAAGUACGUGUUGGUAUUGGUGUUGUAUAGUGUAAUGACUUUUAAAGUUGUCGUGCUAUUAUGAUGCUAAUUGCUAAUGCCUCUGCUCUAUAAUCCUAAAUCAGUGGUUUAUUGUAGGCGUUCCACCCGGCCCGUCUUGAAACACGGACCAAGGAGUCUAACAUGUACGCAAGUCAUAGGGUUCUACGAAACCUAAAGGCGUAUUGAAAGAGAAGGUUGCCCUGUUGCAACUCAGCUAUGAUCCUAAUGCCCUCGGGUGUUGGGCGCAAUAGCGGCUUGUCUCAUACUCUUUGAGUGAGGCAAAGCAAGAGCGUACAUGAUGGUACCCGAAAGAUGGUGAACUAUGCUUGCAUAGGUUGAAGCCAGGGGAAACUCUGGUGGAGGACCGCAGCGCUUCUGACGUGCAAAUCGAUCGUCAAAUGUGAGUAUAGGGGCGAAAGACUAAUCGAACCAUCUAGUAGCUGGUUCCCUGCGAAGUUUCCCUCAGGAUAGCUGGUGCUCGGGAAUCAAACAGUUUUAUCCGGUAAAGCGAAUGAUUAGAAGUAUUGGGGACGAAAUGUCCUCAACUUAUUCUCAAACUUUAAAUGGGUAAGAAGCUGCACUCUCCUAAACGGAGUGUGGCAUUGAAUGUGAGCACCUAGUGGGCCAUUUUUGGUAAGCAGAACUGGCGAUGUGGGCUGAACCAAAAGCGGUGGUUAAGGCGCCUAAAUGUACGCUCAUGACAUACCACAAAAGGUGUUGGUUGAUAUAGACAGCAGGACGGUGGCCAUGGAAGUUGGAAUCCGCUAAGGAGUGUGUAACAACUCACCUGCCGAAUCAACCAGCCCUGAAAAUGGAUGGCGGUGGAGCGUUCUGCCUAUACCGCGCCGUUACUGCUAAAAUUGACUGUAUGCAGUAACGUGUAGCAGGGCGAAAUGGUAAGCCUUGAAGCUUAGACUGUAAAGUCAAGUGGAGCUGCCAUUUGUGCAGAUCUUGGUGGUAGUAGCAAGUAUUCAAGUGAGAACCUUGAAGACUGAAGUGGAGAAGGGUUCC
rnacentral:rRNA from 1 species